rnacentral:rRNA from 1 species
CCUACGGGAGGCAGCAGUGAGGAAUAUUGGUCAAUGGACGAGAGUCUGAACCAGCCAAGUAGCGUGAAGGAUGACUGCCCUAUGGGUUGUAAACUUCUUUUAUAUGGGAAUAAAAUGUUCCACGUGUGGGAUUUUGUAUGUACAAUAUGAAUAAGGAUCGGCUAACUCCGUGCCAGCAGCCGCGGUAAUACGGAGGAUCCGAGCGUUAUCCGGAUUUAUUGGGUUUAAAGGGAGCGUAGGUGGAUUGUUAAGUCAGUUGUGAAAGUUUGCGGCUCAACCGUAAAAUUGCAGUUGAAACUGGCAGUCUGGAGUACAGUAGAGGUGGGCGGAAUUCGUGGUGUAGCGGUGAAAUGCUUAGAUAUCACGAAGAACUCCGAUUGCGAAGGCAGCUCACUGGACUGCAACUGACACUGAGGCUCGAAAGUGUGGGUAUCAAACAGGAUUAGAUACCCCAGUAGUC